CCAGCUGUAAAUGGAAUCUUAAUAACAGUGAACAGGGCCUGUGUAGCCUUCAUCUUCUGUACCGCAAAGGUGAAUUCCACUCCCGCAUGGUUGUGUUGGUUGAUUUCCACAUGCACUUCCCUAUUCAGUGGUCUCCAGACUCCCGCUAGCCUCCCCAGGCCAAUGGCAGCUGUUCUCCUUCUGAGCCACUGCACUCCUGCUCCAGAACAGUCUGCCUUUCCCACGCCGUGCCCUUGCUUCUCCCUGGCACGGUGCAGCUCCCCCCCGCUGCCCCGACCCCGCACCCCUCCCGGGAUCCCCAGCCCACCCCACGGCAGUGUUUUGUGUGCUGGUUGUGCCCAGGCGUGGGCCAAGGGCAGGAUGAGGCUUCCCUCCUCCCACCCACCAGCCCAUCGCCUGACCUGCCGCUCUCUCUGACCCACCACGGUGCCCCCAGAGGAACUUCCUGAAGUGCUCCGAAGACAACCCGCUCUUUGCCGGCAUCGACUGUGAGGUGUUCGAGUCGCGUUUCCCCACCACCAUGGCAUUGUCCGUGCUCGUGACCAUUGAAAUGUGCAAUGCUCUCAACAGCGUCUCAGAGAACCAGUCGCUGCUGCGGAUGCCGCCCUGGAUGAACCCCUGGCUGCUGGCAGCUGUGGCCAUGUCCAUGGCCCUGCACUUCCUCAUCCUGCUCGUGCCGCCCCUGCCUCUCAUUUUCCAGGUGACCCCACUGAGCGGGCGCCAGUGGGUGGUGGUGCUCCAGAUAUCUCUGCCUGUCAUCCUGCUGGAUGAGGCCCUCAAGUACCUGUCCCGGAACCACAUGCACGAAGAAAAGAGCAAGAAGUGAGCGCUGGGAACACAGUGGAGUCUCCGGUGUGUGCCUCAGACUGAUGGUGCCCAUGUGUUCGCCUCCACCCCCCACCCCUGCCACCACACUCGCCCACUUGCCCACUGGGUCCUGCCAGAUAAAUGACAGGCCCGAGGCCAGCACGGCCAUCCCCGGGCCCCA
rnacentral:sRNA from 1 species